CUGAUAAAGAGCUGCAGACAACCAGCACACCUCCAACAGGUCUACUCACUUGUAUCACCACACUGGCUUCCUUCACUUUGUUCACCUGUCACAGGCUGGCAAGAUGUACCAGCACUCAUGGACAUGGAGAGUUUCCAGAGGACCAGAGUAGAGAGCUGGUGAGACACCAGGGAGGACAGCUGUGGAUGGAGUGUUGCUCACCUUGAAUGUUUUUUCUGGGGUUUCAUGUCUGCUGUCUGAGUCCCUAACUGUACCUACCAAGAUUGGCUUUCACAGUGAAACACAUUAUUAGGAACACCUGUGCAAUCUAAUGCAAUCCUAUACAACAGCUCUGCCAUAAUAUUGGUACAAAGCCUAUACAUAUUUUGUCCACCUUGAGGGGGUAGACAAAAUAUUAGGUCAAUAUUUCAAUAUAAUGCACUCCAGCACACCACCAUCACCCACUACAACCUCAUGUAAAUAAGUAGAAUUAUCACCAUUCUGACAAUGUCAACAAAAACUGAAAAUGAAUUUAAUUGAAAUCAAACAUUGUCUUUUAAUGUAGUGGAUGAUUAUAAGAGAUGGCUAAUCUUUGUACAGUUGAUGUACAGCUGUAUUAAUGCUUCAUCACCUUGUUUU